AAGACCAGGGCGGAAGACUACAGUGAGAAGACCCUUUGUGUCGGCGGGAAAGAAAUAUGCCUGCCCCUUUAAGAAGGCGGAGACGCCCCAGUGGCGGCGUCUUCGAAUGCGGCCUAAGGCGCCUGCCGCCAGUCUCCCGGCGACUUUCCCUAUAUCGCGGAGACUCUUCCCUCUGACCCCAGCCCGGAAGCACUGUCCCUCGGAGUCCGAGACUUCCACCUGGGUCGUGUCCAAGGCCCCGGCGACUCCCCGGACUCGGGGUGCCGGGCCAACCUCCCCGCCGAGGCCCACCCGCCGUCGCUAUGGCGUGCAGUUUGCAGAAGCUGUUUGCUGUGGAAGAGGAGUUUGAAGAUGAGGAUUUCUUGUCUGCUGUGGAGGAUGCAGAGAACCGGUUUACUGGCUCACUGCCUGUGAAUGCUGGGCGCCUGAGACCUGUCUCUUCUAGGCCACAGGAGACUGUGCAGGCACAGUCCUCCAGGCUGCUGCUGUUACACCCCACUGCUCCCUCAGAGGCUUUGGGCCUGCCAGACUUGGACCUCUGCCUCCCUGCCUCCAGCACGCCCAGUGCCGACAGCCGUCCAUCAUGCAUAGGAGCAGCUCCCCUAAGGCCUGUCUCUACUUCCAGCAGCUGGAUUGGCAAUCAGAGAAGAGUGACAGUGACAGAAGUGCUCAGAGAGCCAGCAAGACCUCAGUCCUCAGCCUUAUACCCCCUACUCACCUUUGAGAGCCAACAGCAGCAAGUUGGUGGCUUUGAGGGGCCUGAACAAGACGAAUUUGAUAAAGUCCUGGCAAGCAUGGAGUUGGAGGAGCCUGGCAUGGAGCUGGAAUGUGGAGUCAGCAGUGAGGCCAUACCAAUCCUGCCUGCCCAGCAGCAGGAGGGUUCAGUAUUGGCUAAAAAAGCCCGGGUAGUUGAUCUGAGUGGAUCUUGCCAGAAGGGGCCUGUGCCUGCCACCCACAAAGCGGGUAUCAUGUCCGCCCAGGAUGAGUCUCUAGAUCCUGUCAUCCAAUGUAGGACUCCACGACCCCCCUUGAGACCUGGUGCUGUGGGUCACCUUCCUGUUCCAACUGCCUUAACAGUUCCCACUCAGCAACCCCACUGGGAAGUCUGUCCACAACGCUCCCCUGUUCAAGCACUUCAGCCUCUCCAAGCUGCUAGAGGGACCAUUCAGAGCAGCCUUCAAAAUCGUUUCCCUUGUCAGCCAUUCCAGUCUCCAAGUUCCUGGUUAAGUGGCAAAGCUCAUUUACCCAGACCUCGAACUCCCAACUCAAGCUGUUCUACUCCCUCAAGGACUAGCUCUGGAUUAUUUCCUCGGAUACCCUUACAACCCCAAGCUCCAGUGUCUUCCAUUGGGUCUCCUGUUGGUACCCCAAAAGGUCCCCAUUCCUCCCUGGGUCCCCAGGGAGCUCUGCAGACACCCAUAGUCACCAACCACCUGGUGCAGCUAGUCACUGCUGCCAGCCGGACACCCCAGCAGCCCACCCAUCCCUCCACCCGAGCCAAAACUCGCCGUUUCCCCGGCCCAGCUGGGAUCCUGCCUCACCAGCAGAGUGGGAGAAGUCUGGAGGAUAUCAUGGUUUCCGCGCCCCAAACUCCGACCCAUGGUGCUCUGGCUAAAUUCCAGACAGAGAUUGUUGCUAGUUCCCAGGCAUCUGUGGAGGAGGAUUUUGGGCGAGGGCCCUGGCUGACCAUGAAAUCCGCGCUAGGCCUGGAUGAGAGAGACCCUAGCUGCUUCCUCUGUACCUACAGCAUUGUCAUGGUGCUGCGCAAGGCAGCCCUGAAGCAGCUUCCUAGGAACAAGGUCCCCAACAUGGCGGUGAUGAUCAAGUCCCUGACUCGGAGCACAAUGGACGCCAGUGUGGUUUUCAAGGACCCCACGGACAGGAAAACUGAGGCAGUGAGCAGCCCACUUCCCAGCCAGGGCCCAUACCAGUCGCUGUGCUGCCCUUGACCCCGAGACUGAUGGGCCAUGUGGUAUUUGCAGGAGAGAUGCAGGGGACGGUGCACAGGUUGCUGCUGGAGACGCGCCAGAAUGAGCUGAAGCCUGGCUCAGUGCUGCUGCUGAAGCAGAUUGGAGUGUUUUCUCCUUCACUUCGAAAUCACUACCUCAACGUGACACCCAACAACCUGGUCCAUAUUUACAGCCCGGAUUCUGGGGAUGGGAGCUUCCUCAAGCCAUCUCAGCCCUUCCCCAAGGAUUCAGGGAGCUUCCAGCAUGAUGUGGCUGCAAAGCCCGAGGAAGGCUUCAGAACAGCACAGAACCUGGAGGCAGAGGCGUCCCCUGAGGAAGAACUCCCAGAAGCAGAUGACCUGGAUGGACUCCUGAGUGAGCUUCCUGAAGACUUCUUCUGUGGGACCAGUAGCUGAGACUGCCCCAACGCAGGACAACCCACCAUGAGCAGGCAGCUCUGGGCAUGUGUCUGGUCACAUCCAAGGGGGAGAAGAAGGCCAGCAUGAUUGGAGAGUGGACACAGCGGGGGGGCUUCUGUGGUUGCUCCCACCCUGGGUGUUUUCCCUGAGAGCCCCCUCAUCUCUGCGCUGCCCUCACUUUGGGCCUUUCUUUGCCGUUGGCACCAGGAUCCGGCCGGAGACUGGCUCUCCAGCCAACAAGAAAGGCCUGUCACCCUCGCCUUGGGUGUCCCUCUCCUGCCUCAGCUUAAUUUUAGAGGAUAUUGGGCCUGGUUUUCUUGUCCCUUCAUACCCUAGUCCCUGGACAGCUGAGGAGAUGAAAGGAGCCACACCACAACAAUGGCGGCCUGCCCCUCCACACAGGGGAGAAGCACGCUCAGGCUUCCUCUGCUUUGUCUCUUCAGACCUGUGGUUGCUCUGCUCAUCCAUGCCCAAGGUUCCCAGGUGCAGGACAGAGGUGUGGCCUAUUGUACCUUGUUCUGAAAUAAAGCAGCUCCUGCUU